AGCAGUCGCCACGGGAAUACGUAGGUGGCGAGCGUUGUCCGGAAUUAUUGGGCGUAAAGGGCUCGCAGGCGGUUUCUUAAGUCUGAUGUGAAAGCCCCCGGCUCAACCGGGGAGGGUCAUUGGAAACUGGGAAACUUGAGUGCAGAAGAGGAGAGUGGAAUUCCACGUGUAGCGGUGAAAUGCGUAGAGAUGUGGAGGAACACCAGUGGCGAAGGCGACUCUCUGGUCUGUAACUGACGCUGAGGAGCGAAAGCGUGGGGAGCGAACAGGAUUAGAUACCCCGGUAGUCCCUGUCUCUUAUAC
rnacentral:rRNA from 1 species